UGGGGAAUAUUGCACAAUGGGGGAAACCCUGAUGCAGCGACGCCGCGUGAACAAAGAAGGUAUUCGUAUCGUAAAGUUCUGUCCUAUGGGAAGAUAAUGACAGUACCAUAGAAGAAAGCUCCGGCUAAAUACGUGCCAGCAGCCGCGGUAAUACGUAUGGAGCGAGCGUUGUCCGGAAUUAUUGGGCGUAAAGGGUACGCAGGCGGUUUAAUAAGUCGAAUGUUAAAGAUCGGGGCUCAACCCCGUAAAGCAUUGGAAACUGAUAAACUUGAGUAGUGGAGAGGAAAGUGGAAUUCCUAGUGUAGUGGUGAAAUACGUAGAUAUUAGGAGGAAUACCAGUAGCGAAGGCGACUUUCUGGACACAAACUGACGCUGAGGUACGAAAGCGUGGGGAGCAAACAGG
rnacentral:rRNA from 1 species